rnacentral:rRNA from 1 species
AGAUUAGAUAUCCCAUUACACAAGUAAGUAAGACCCCUUGAAGACGACAAGGUAGAUAGGACAGAGGUGGAAGUGUGGUAACACAUGUAGCUGACUGUUACUAAUAGGUCGAGGGCUUGACCUAA